rnacentral:rRNA from 1 species
GACGAACGCUGGCGGCGUGCUUAACACAUGCAAGUCGAACGGAAAGGCCCUGCUUUUGUGGGGUGCUCGAGUGGCGAACGGGUGAGUAACACGUGAGUAACCUGCCCUUGACUUUGGGAUAACUUCAGGAAACUGGGGCUAAUACCGGAUAGGAGCUCCUGCUGCAUGGUGGGGGUUGGAAAGUUUCGGCGGUUGGGGAUGGAAUCGAGGCUUAUCAGCUUGUUGGUGGGGUGGUGGGUUACCAAGGCUUGGACGGGUAGCCGGCCUGCGAGGGUGACCGGCCACAUUGGGACUGAGAUACGGCCCAGAGUGCUACGGGAGGCAGCAGUGGGGAAUAUUGCACAAUGGGCGGAAGCCUGAUGCAGCAACGCCGCGUGCGGGAUGACGGCCUUCGGGUUGUAAACCGCUUUCGCCUGUGACGAAGCGUGAGUGACGGUAAUGGGUAAAGAAGCACCGGCUAACUACGUG